ACUGACACUCUGGAGAAGGUCUGCCUCUGUGUGCGCUGCCCCGGUUGCAUGUGAGCAGAUGAAUUCCACAGCUGGAACUGAGGCACAGAGCAAUAAACACAGUGGAGCCCAUCUCUGCCGUGGUGAGAGGGGGCAUCAGAAGUGACAACAAUGACAAGGACCCAAGGACCGUCCUUCUGACAAGUUUCAGGAAAAAGGGGUUCCAUAAGAAGUGGCAUCCUCCUCCAGUUGAAAGAUUCUUGGGCUGAUGGAGUAAGUGAGUGACGGAGUGGGUUGCCAACUGUAGUUACUCCACUCAAUGCGGAAUGGCUGCAGGGAAUAUAUUCUGAUGUGCCCAAAGAAGUCUGCCCAGGGUGAAACAAAUACCUUUGAGGUUUAAAUCAGAAAACAUAAACACAUUUCCCUUAUAGGAAGAAGUUGUAUUUAAAAGCCUCUGUUUAAUUUAUUCAGAAACUACACGAUUUUUGUUGCUAUAUUUUGUUAUAAAGGAAGAGAGGCUGUUUCUACAGGUGUCAUAGAAAAGUCGAUGCUGAGCCAUGGAUUAUUGGAUCUCAUAGAACCACGGAGACUUGGCAGUAAAAUCCUUCCAAAGGCAGACGGUGUUCCUAGGUUUGGAAACGUACCUCCCAGGGGAAGUGAGCUGAGGAACAUUUUAUGCAUCAUUCAUCCGGUUAUGAGCCCUUGCUGCUCCAUCUCUGCACAAGAUGUUGAAACAACAGCAACAACAAAAAUUGUUUAUAAUGUGUAUUCUAACUUUGGAUCAUCUGGUUAACGCCCUGAUGCUAUUACCCAGAAAGACAAUGCUCUGUCAGAAAAAACCAUUAAAGCUCGCUGCUGCGUGAUUAGUAAAAUAAUAGGGAAAGUUCAGCAUUCUGGAUGUCCCAUCUAAUGAGUUGGCAGUUACAGAACAGAAACAGAGCAAUAAGACCGCAUGGUUACAUUUUCCCAGUGCCACCAACUGGGAGUUAAGCUGACUAACAUUUCGAAAGCCCAGCCCAUUUCAUUCACAGCAGGCAUGGCAGAGCUGCAGUUGACCGUCUAAUGGUGUUUGGAAUUGAUGAUGAUGACUGUGCUGCUGCUGUUGAUUAGAGCACCAUUAUCCAGUGCUCCCAAGUCAUGGCUUUUGUGUCUAGGACCUCAGGCUCUGCUGCUUCCCGGUGAUUCCAUUGCCUCUGCAGCAAUAACAGAUCAUUUAUUAGACACCUACUAUGUGCUAAACAACUGAUAUGUAUUCUUGAAUCACAACAGCAUUCUAAGCGGUUGACUGAUUGUACCUGCCAGCUGGCUAAUAUCAUAAUUAACAAAGUUGCUACUACGUGUGCAAAGUUUAAUCGAAAAAUUUGCCAGUGCUAUGAUGGCAUUGUCACAAAGAUCACAAGGGACUCGGAGUCGACUUUUGCUCAAGGUGGAACGGCAAAGCUGUGUAGGCAAAAUGAGAAAUCUUGAACUUGUUCAGCCAAAGGUUAUGCUUCAUAUCACCCACCAGGGAGGAUCAUCUCUCAUGAAAACUUUCAAAUUUGAUUUUGAAAAUUAUUCAGAAAAAUUUAAGCCAUGCUCUCUCCCAAUGUAGGAAAGAAAAUACUCUGGAGAUUCCUAUAAUUCAAAGAAAAUGGACUGGAGUAACAUCUGAGUUCUCAUGCAGCCAGAAUCCUCUUGAGAAGAACAGCCAGGAGGCUAAUAAUGGAGGGGCCAGAGAAGGAGGCCAGUGCUCCGAGGGUUAUCUCACAGCCUCAGAUGCUGGAUAAGCCGAAGGAGGCAGAAUCGCUUCUGGAUGACAUUCAGAAAGGCCGGAGUGAUUAUUGGAAGAGAAAAGCCUGCCUAUUCUUUUCCAAGCUGAUGAAUGAUUAGCCACCUGCCUCAGACAAAGGAUGCCCUGGGAGCCUCCCCACACCUACGGCCGCUUUGAAGGCUCUGCCAAGCUCACUUUUAAUCACGAGAAAGGAAUUACCCACAUGGAGUCAGCAGAAAAUGAGAAAGUAGAGCUCGUGCUGCGAAUCAUUCCAGCAAGUGCCAAGGGGCUAGUUGAGGAAUGGCUUCAACGAGAUGUUAGUCUAAAACCAGCCCCUUCAAGAGAGAAAAUACUAGAAAAUGCCUAAUAAAAUACAAGCAAGCAACUAAAAAAAAAAUGCCUAGUUGCCUCCUUUCCAUAUGUGGCUGACAUCCGUCAGUUGGAUCAAUAGUUUAAUUCUUUUCCCUUGAACUGUUUUAAUGAUGAUUGACCUAUUUUCACUUCUGCUGUUUUCUGUAUGUUUAUUUUUGCUUGACUGUUUUAAUAUUGACUAUUGAUCUCUACUCAUUUUUACUGGUUUUCUGUAAUUUUUUUUUCAAUGAGAAUUCCAAUAAAACUUACUCUGUU
rnacentral:lncRNA from 1 species